rnacentral:rRNA from 1 species
CAGCCGCCGCGGGAAUACAGAGGGUGCAAGCGUUAAUCGGAUUUACUGGGCGUAAAGGGCGCGUAGGUGGUUAUUUAAGUGAGAUGUGAAAGCCCCGGGCUUAACCUGGGAACUGCAUCUUAUACUGGGUAACUGGAGUGCAGUAGAGGGUAGUGGAAUUUCCGGUGUAGCGGUGAAAUGCGUAGAUAUCGGAAGGAACACCAGUGGCGAAGGCGGCUACCUGGACUGAGACUGACACUGAGGCGCGAGAGCGUGGGGAGCAAACAGGAUUAGAUACCCCCGUAGUCCCUGUCUCUUAUAC